rnacentral:rRNA from 1 species
CUGCUAAGACUGGAUAGGAAACAAAAAGGCAUCUUUUUGUUUUUAAAAGACCUUCUUAUGAAGGUAUGCUUAAAGAGGGGCUUGCGCCACAUUAGUUAGUUGGUAGGGUAAAAGCCUACCAAGACGAUGAUGUGUAGCUGGACUGAGAGGUUGAACAGCCACAUUGGGACUGAGACACGGCCCAAACUCCUACGGGAGGCAGCAGUAGGGAAUUUUCGGCAAUGGAGGAAACUCUGACCGAGCAACGCCGCGUGAACGAUGAAGUAUUUCGGUAUGUAAAGUUCUUUUAUUGAAGAAGAAAAAGUAGUGGAAAAACUAUAUUGACGUUAUUCAAUGAAUAAGCCCCGGCUAACUAUGUGCCAGCAGCCGCGGUAAGACAUAGGGGGCGAGCGUUAUCCGGAAUUAUUGGGCGUAAAGGGUGCGUAGGCUGUUAGAUAAGUCUAUAAUUUAAUUUCAGUGCUUAACGCUGUUUUGUUAUAGAAACUGUCUUGACUAGAGUGAGAUAGAGGCAAGCGGAAUUCCAUGUGUAGCGGUAAAAUGUGUAAAUAUAUGGAGGAACACCAGAAGCGUAGGCGGCUUGCUGGGUCUUUACUGACGCUGAGGCACGAAAGCGUGGGUAGCAAACAGGAUUAGAUACCCUGGUAGUCCACGCCGUAAACGAUGAGUACUAAGUGUCGGGGUAAAACUCGGUACUGAAGUUAACACAUUAAGUACUCCGCCUGAGUAGUACGUACGCAAGUAUGAAACUUAAAGGAAUUGACGGGACUCCGCACAAGCGGUGGAUCAUGUUGUUUAAUUCGAAGAUACACGAAAAAUCUUACCAGGUCUUGACAUACUCUGCAAAGCUAUAGAAAUAUAGUGGAGGUUAUCAGGGAUACAGGUGGUGCAUGGUUGUCGUCAGUUCGUGUCGUGAGAUGUUAGGUUAAGUCCUAAAACGAGCGCAACCCUUGUCGUUAAUUGCCAGCACGUAAUGGUGGGGACUUUAGCGAGACUGCCAAUUAAACAUUGGAGGAAGGUGAGGAUUACGUCAAAUCAUCAUGCCCCUUAUGAUCUGGGCUACAAACGUGAUACAAUGGCUGUGACAAAGAGUAGCUGAAACGCGAGUUUUUAGCCAAUCUCAAAAAAGCAGUCUCAGUUCGGAUUGAAGUCUGUAACUCGACUUCAUGAAGUUGGAAUCGCUAGUAAUCGCGAAUCAGCAUGUCGCGGUGAAUACGUUCUCGGGGUUUGUACACACCGCCCGUCAAA